GGCGGCGUGCAUGAGACAUGCAAGUCGAACGGACACUUGGGGCUUGCUCCAAGUGUUAGUGGCGGACGGCUGAGUAACGCGUAGGUGACCUGCCCCGAAGUGGGGAAUAACUGCCCGAAAGGGUGGCUAAUACCGCAUGUGGUGGUGUGUUCAUUCACACCAGUAAAGCCGCAAGGCGCUUCGGGAGGGGCCUGCGUCCGAUUAGCUAGUUGGUGAGGUAACGGCUCACCAAGGCGACGAUCAGUAGCUGGUCUGAGAGGAUGAUCAGCCACAUUGGGACUGAGACACGGCCCAAACUCCUACGGGAGGCAGCAGUGGGGAAUAUUGGACAAUGGGCGCAAGCCUGAUCCAGCCAUGCCGCGUGAGUGAUGAAGGCCCUAGGGUUGUAAAGCUCUUUUGUGCGGGAAGAUAAUGACGGUACCGCAAGAAUAAGCCCCGGCUAACUUCGUGCCAGCAGCCGCGGUAAUAC
rnacentral:rRNA from 1 species